AAAAGCUGAUGCAUUAACAGUAAUAUUCAUUCGUACAUUUACAAAGUUGUCAAAAUGAACCAGAAACUGAUCAUCUUCUUCGCGAUCGUCGUGCUAUGCGCUUCUGCCCAGGCCGGUGAAGUUAUUCAUGCAACUAUUCCAAAGAGUAAGCAGCCUUCAGCGUGGAAUCAACAAGUAAGGGAUCACUCCGAAAUCGAUGUUGAAGAUGUUCUCAACGCUAUUGUUGCACAAAUGGAAUAAUAAGUGUUCGUUCGCAAAAUGCUAAAUAAAUAAAAUUGAAACAAAAGA